AUUUGAAAUUUGAAAUUUAAACUAGGCCUCAACUAUAUAGUUGGAGAUAUGAGUCUUGGCUUUCUGUGAUAUUAUGUUCCACAGAGCAAUGAUUUUUGUAUUUUUGGAAUACAUUUUGCUAUGCGACUUUUUGUUCUCACUUGCUAAAUGUUGGCAAUACUUUUAGAGAUGGUUUUUGUUUAUCCUAUCAAAGUUAUCAUUUUACUUACCCAACUUCUACUACAUACUCCGAUUCAUCUAUUUAUUAUUAGGAUAUAAAAGCAUACCUCAUCAAGAUAACUAAAUGUCAUUUGUUAUCAUCACUAUCAUAGUUCACUCCACUUAGCUCAACACAACAAUGCACCAAUUUUACUUGUUAGUUUGACUUAAUGAAUCCUUUUCUAGAAAGAUUUCUGAAGAGCAAUAACCUCAGUCAAAUCCAUGGCCAUUAUGCCCUUUCCUACUAACCCUCACAUGCUUAAUUUCCUCAUCCUCUUAUACUCAACUUUGGCUGUGUAUUUUUGUUUAACUGUAAGACCCUAACUAAGCACAAUAAAGGUGAGUGUUGUCCCCUUUUCUCUGUGUAAUGGAUACUUGAGAGUCAAUUUUUGAGCUCGUUAGAUGUGUGUCUUCUUACAUUUUCAUAUUCCUUACUUAUAUUGCUUGCAUGUAAAUCAGGUGCUCAAGGCCAUGCGAGAGUUGGAUUCUACUAAACCUGCCAUUUUUGCUAUGUCAAAUCCAACAUUGAAUGGAGGUCUCAAAACCUUUGACAGCUUUCAAGUCAUUUGACAACCCAAACCGGCUUCAGAUUAUUCGCGUACCUGUCCGCAGCAAGAGUCUGCUGUCAUCUUUCUUCGUAAAACAGAAGAAGACAAAACUGAAGACCAUCUCAUGAAUCCUCACUCAAUGAAGCAAGUCGACUAUACCAUUCAGCAAACCACCCACAUUGUGUGGGUGUAACAGCCUAUGCUUGUUGGUGAUCACUUGAUUCAUCCAUUAAUUGCUUAUAUAUCUCCAAACCUUUCGUUUGGUGAUCGAUAACAAGAAGUGCAUCAUCGUCUUGGUUCGGAUCAGUGUUAUGUUGUAUUCUGUCUUGUAUGUAGGUAUAGUUAACUAACUAGCAGUCCUGUUGUGAAGAUGGUUUAUAUUGAUCAAGCUUUGAUGGUUAACUCUAAUUUCUAUUUCUUGUCCUAAUUAUCUGGGAUUUCAGAUCUGGAAAUUUACUUACUGUUUUCUUUGGAAAAUUAGAGCAGGUCAAGAAUAAUAAUAUUCCUACUUGGUUAAUGCUAAAUAAUAAUAUUUGCUUGAUGUUAGUGCAGCUUAUAUUAUUGAUCAAUUGUAUUUCAUAUUUGAAGACCAUAUCAGAAAAAUCAGGUCCAAAGGACUUAACAGCAACUGGUUGAACUAGAGCGCAAGGAAGCUGAUAUGAAAAGAAAUGCAGCUCUUUCAGCAGCUAAAUUUGCAGAGGCUUGUCAAGAGCCAGGAUUGCAAGUAUGAUCCUGCAUCGCAUGCCACUCUACUGAUGAUGUAUAUUCCUUCAAGAACGAACAAAUUAAGUGUCAACAAAUUAAAGAAGAAAGGGAACACGCUGAAAAGUUCAUGAAAUACCAGAACAAACGCGGAGGAAGAGUGAAACUACACUCUAUAUUGCUGCCCCUUUCCGAAUUUGAUCAUGUUGAGAAGGGUGAUGCAUUGUUUGGUAAGUAGCCAUUUCUUUUACACGUUGUACGGCAAUGUCUGUUACAUAUUCACAA